UGGAGCAUGUGGUUUAAUUCGUACGCAACGCGAGAACCUUACCAGGGCUUGACAUCCCCUGACCGCGUAUGAAAGUACGUUUUCACCCUCGGGUGACAGGGAGACAGGUGGUGCAUGGUUGUCGUCAGCUCGUGUCGUGAGAUGUUGGGUUAAGUCCCGCAACGAGCGCAACCCCUACGUUUAGUUGCUAACGCGUGAAGGCGAGCACUCUAGACGAACUGCCGUUGACAAAACGGAGGAAGGUGGGGAUGACGUCAAAUCAUCAUGCCCCUUAUGUUCUGGGCUACACACGUGCUACAAUGGCCGGUACAGACGGAGGCGAAGCCGCGAGGCGGAGCAAAUCCGAAAAAGCCGGUCUCAGUUCGGAUUGCAGGCUGCAAUUCGCCUGCAUGAAGUCGGAAUCGCUAGUAAUCGCAGGUCAGCAUACUCGCGGUCGAAUACGUCCGGCCUU
rnacentral:rRNA from 1 species